rnacentral:tRNA from 1 species
GAGGGUGUAGCUCAGUGGUAGAGCACUUGCCUGGCAUGUGUGAGGCACUGGGUUCAAUCCCCAGCACCACCU